rnacentral:rRNA from 1 species
CCUACGGGUGGCAGCAGUGAGGAAUAUUGGUCAAUGGUCGGGAGACUGAACCAGCCAAGCCGCGUGAGGGAGGAAGGUACAGAGUAUCGUAAACCUCUUUUGUCAGGGAACAAAGAUUGGGACGCGUCCCCGGAUGAGUGUACCUGAAGAAAAAGCAUCGGCUAACUCCGUGCCAGCAGCCGCGGUAAUACGGGGGAUGCGAGGGUUUUCCGGAUUGAUUGGGUUAAAGGGGAGCGCAGGCGGCCUGGUCGGUCAGCGUGCAAACCCCGGGGCUCACCCCCGUCCCGCCGUUGAAACUGGCAGUCUCGAGUUGGAGAGAAGUAUGCGGAAUGCGCGGUGUAGCGGUGAAAUGCAUAGAUAUCGCGCAGAACUCCGAUUGCGAAGGCAGCAUGCCGGCUCCACACUGACGCUGAGGCACGAAAGCGUGGGUAUCGAACAGGAUUAGAUACCCUAGUAGUC